UACGUAGGUGGCGAGCGUUGUCCGGAUUUACUGGGCGUAAAGGGCGUGCAGGCGGUUUGUUAAGUGCAGGGUGAAAGCUCCCGGCUCAACUGGGAGAGGUCCUUGCAUACUGGCGAACUCGAGGGAGGCAGAGGAAGUGGAAUUCCCGGUGUAGUGGUGAUAUGCGUAGAUAUCGGGAGGAACACCUGUGGCGAAGGCGGCUUUCUGGGCCUUACCUGACGCUGAGACGCGAAAGCGUGGGGAGCGAACCGG
rnacentral:rRNA from 1 species